rnacentral:miRNA from 1 species
UCUUCCCUAUUCCUCCCAUU